UGCCUUAUGUGUUCUUCUAGAUGGAGAGCAAGGUGAACCCUCAGCAUCCAAGGACAGCGACACCAGCACCACUGAAGCUCAGGGCGAGGACUCGCAAGAACCCGAAUUAACUCAAACAGACAGCAAUCAGUCCAAAGACGAUGCCACAGAGCAGAAGAAGGAGCCGAGGAAGGAAUUGGAAGACAAUCAGCCUCAGAUGGAUGGCCGGCAAACUGUGUGAAGGCACACACACACACACACACACACACACACACACACACACACACACACACACACACACACACACACACACACACACACACACACACACACACACACACACACACACACACACUCACACCACACCAACUGUGUAUCACACUGAUUAAGGCCCAGGACCAUGCUUCUAAAUCACUAGUUUCCUAUUCUAUUCAACCCUUGUUGCUCUCUAUCAUGAUGAAAUGAAAUGAAAUAACUAUGAGAUAUACCUAUAUGUAACGUAUUUCCUGAACAACUGUAUAAAUGAACAUAUCAGAGAUAUUGAGGUGCGGGUGGGCGGGGUUUACUGGUCAUACCUCACUGAGAUGCUGCUUGAAUACUCCCAUAAUCCAUUGGGGCAUCCUAGUGCUGGAAUUCUAUGGUUUCAUAGUCUGCCACAGGAGAGCUUGAGAGGAAGACUAUAUCCAUGCCACUUUUCCUCCACACACUUGACAAGCCCACAUACUAAGAGGCCAACACAAGUGAAUAGAGCAAGAUUAGUAAUUGUUUAAAUAUAACUGACAAAUGUUAGGCUUAUACGUCAUGAAUUGUGCUCAUUAAGUAACACUACAGUUGAUGCUGACAAGGCCUAGUAAGGCUGAUACCAGUUUUAGUUCUACCUUUGUUUCCUAAGUGUGAGUGGACUUUGAAACCAAGUGAGUGGGCUUUUAGACCAAGUUAUUUACCAAGUGAUGAAAAGAUGGAAAAGGUACACAUCAGACAGCACUAACUGUUUAUCAUUUCUCUUCAAGUGUUUUUCAUCUGACUUCUGAUGCUCCGCCAUCGCAGCUUAAGUUCCACUCAGCUCAGCUCUGGCCCUGAUAGGGGCCGCACGUGUGUGAUGUAGUCUGCUUUGAAACACC